rnacentral:lncRNA from 1 species
AUUGUAGUAGACUGCCUACCUGAACAAAUUUAAAGCAGAAUAUGGCUCUAGAAAAUCAUGGUGGGAAAGAGGACCUUCUAUCACAUGGCAUCACUUGUGACUCCAAAUCCACUGAGCUGUCAGGUGCAUCUAUUUGCCUAGGUAUCCAGGCCUGAGGUCAGGGCCAGAGCCUAAUCAUCGGCUUAGAUGACCUCAAAAUGUCUUAUCUUUCUCGUGGAACCCUGAGCAUAGCUCAGUACCUACAGGUUGUCUGUGAGAAGUUAUGGAACCAUUACUGUCCCAUCUUUUGUAGUCUGGAGUUUUCCAUCAUAUCAAGAUCAAUGUACAAGACUCGGGAAAGAGCAAGAUCUCCUGAUGUUGACUCAGGGCUCUGUGAAAACCAAAAUGGAGUAAAGAGGAAAUGCAGUAUGAAUAAAGAUAAUACAUUUUCAACUAGUGAAACCUGCUCCAGUGUUAGCUUGCUGACCCUACUGCUCCCAUUGAUAUCACAACAGGUUUUCUAGCGUGGAAGAAAGGUUAGUAAGGGUCAAACAUGCAAAAGGGGUGUCUUUUACAUACAAAGACCAUGCAUCA